GGAAUGAUAUUGAUUUGGUCUACUUCAUAAAAAUAAAAUGUGAGCGUAGAUUUUUAAACACCGCAAACGAGAUACGUGGUUUGGUAGUUUCACCGUCGAUAUGCGUCAUCAUCGAGAAAUUGGGGUAACAAGCAAUUCUUUCUUGUAUCCGACUCACCGUCAUAAGUUUUUGCACAAAUAAAUAUUUAAAAUUUCGAUUUUCAUAUUUCCCAACGUUCCGCGAUGUUGGCUCCAGCCACUAUCUCCAGCGGUUCGAUCCUGGCCGCUUGGCCGCCGCUUUGGCUGAGCUGAAGAAUGGUGCUCCUGCCUCUGUCUCACCAUUUGUUUUUGGCAUUGCUAGUGUUCAGUGAUAGCACACUAUUUCUCGGAACUUUGAACGAGAAAAUGAUUUGAUUGAUGGCACGAUCUCACAUGUUCACACCCGUCAUCUGCACAUGGCAGUCGCACUUGCGAUAUUUCCGUAAUCGUAUCCCACUCUACCGAUCGCUGAAAACCAACGCGUUUUAAUGGCAUCAUUUCCGUAACCAGGGUGGGAAUAAUACACUAGAAAUAAAUAUUCAAUCACCUGUAGAGUCCUGCGAAUAGUGUCCUCAGAAAUAGCAAAGCUUUACAUGUUGCAUUACACGGUCUCAACUUGUAUAAUACUUAACUUGAUUGGGAGAUUUUUAGAUUAUCACGUAUCACCUUGAGUUAAGUCUCAGAAGUCGGUGACUUAAUCAAAAUUGGUCAGACGAAACCUGAGAAAGUCAAGGAACUAUUUACUCUGAAUUCUUGUUGCUACCCUAUUCACUGCUAGCAAUUUGAAACAUUCAUGCUUUGCUGUUUGUGUCUUCAUUUGUAAGUGAAAAGUUCCAUUUUUUUCUGUAAAAUGUUACUGUAUCCUCCUCUUAACUUUUUUUGAGGGGAUGGUCUUCAUUGGUCCUAUUGACACUUAAGUGGUGGCAUAUUUUUCCAAUCUUUUUUACAUUUAAGAAUCCUUUUGAUGUACCUUUUUGUCUUUAAUUAUUGUAAGCGAUUUCGAGAUAACCAUCUAUUUUUUUUCCUGUUAUAUUUUAUGUAUUAAUUUAUUUUUUUAUGUAUGAAGACUAAUUGGCAGUGUUUGGUGAAAAGUAAUCAAGUGUUAUUUUUAAAAUCAUUGAGAUGAUGGUAGCGUUUGGCUUAGCCAGAAGCAUAUUAUUCUCUGAUUAAUUUUCUUCAAGUUUAUGUAAUCUUAUUUUUUACCAAGCGGAAAUUUGAACGGAGGAGCUUGGAGGACAAGGCGUAUUAGUGCGGUUUUUGCUAUUUCGGAAAAUGCGUGUUCAAAGUUUGGAAAUUACAUAGAUCCUUACGACGGAGAUGAAGUUCAAACUGCCUUUUUGGCGCUUAAAAAUUGGAAUUUAAGAGCGAAUUUUUCACGGAAUAUGCAUUAAGACUAGUUUUACCUGAAAUCUUUGUAUCUCAAUUUUAUCCAAUACUGCACUUUCAUAAGUACAGGUGCCUUGUCCUCCAAGCCCCUCAAUUAAUAGUAGUUCCUUUUCAUUGAGCCCCAUGGAAGAGUAAAACUUCGAACAAAUUUUUCUUUCCUCUCAGGCCUUCUCUUUUUGCUUCUCCAUCCCGAACUCUGCCAAAUACAACGAUAAGAAUAAUUGAUGUGAAAAAAUGUGAGCAUUCUUUACCUUAAGCAAUUACUUAAUGAAAUAAACUCCUCAUGAUCUCAAACUA